AAUUAGACUAUAAUAAUGGUAAAUAAACGUAAUCAAAUUCAAAACAACUCAAAGAAAUUUCAAACAAACAAUAAAAUUCUUAAAGAAAUAUUAGAAUGAUCACAAAUAUUACUCAAAUAUAUAUCAAUUCAACCUUAAUUUAAUUCUACUUAAAACCCUAAUGAAUUUCACUCAAACUUUAGACCAAACCUAAUUAAAUCUUAAACCCUAAUAAAUCCUAAAUCCUAAGUCAAAUCCUAAAUAAAUCUUAAAUUAAAUCCUAAAUCAAACCCUAUUUCAAAUCCUAAACCCUAAAUCAAACCUUAAAUCAAACCCUAAUCCAAAUCCUAAAUCAAACCCUAAUCAAAUUCUAAAUCCUAAUCCAAACCCUAAUCCAAACCCUAAAUCAAAACCUAACCAAACCCUAAUCCAAAUCCUAAAUCAAACCCUAACCAAACCCUAAUUCGAACCCUAGCCAAACCCUAAUCCAAAUCCUAGUAAUUCCUAUGACAGAUUUAAACCUCAAUAUCUAAUGAAUAAACCGUUGAUCUCAAUUCAAAAUUUGCGUACUUCUUAAAAAUCAAGUUGAAAUUAAAUACAAAAAAAUUUGAAAAGGAUCGGAGUUACCAAAUUGACGAAAACCUCAAGAAUGUGUUCGGGUGUUAGCCGGCUUCUUUCUCCAAUCUUGAUGCCAACAUUCUAGAGCCGAUUUCUCUUCUUUGCGCCGUUCGAUUGGUUUCAAAUUUCUCAUGGACAUAGAAAAAUAAGUCUUAGACCCUCUUACACAAUUUUUAUUCUAAUCCAACUAGUAGAUUGCAUGAAAUCUUAAAAACCCUCAUUGGACCUAAAAUUCUACUUUUUGAGACCUUGACUCGCUUAAACCUCAAUAUCUCUCACUUUAAU
rnacentral:lncRNA from 1 species